UGUUUAUGUGCCCUUUUUCCAAGACCAAGCAGUGGUGAAGCGAGAACAUGCAAAGCAGUUCAUAAAAUAUCUAAAAGACCGUCAAAGUAGAGUCUGCCUUCCGGUGACUAAGAGGCCUGACACAGAGUACUGGGGAACUGACCGGGAAGCUAUCGUGAUUGCUCUGGAGGUGGAAAGGAACUUAUACAAGCACCUGCAAGAGCUGAAGAACUUGGCUUCUAAGAAUCGUGAAAUUGAUCUCUUAGAAUUCGUGAAAAUUUUCUUGAAUAAACAGAAAAGGAACAUAAGAUAUCUGCAAUACCAGCAUAGCUAUCAGGAGGAAUUAGAAAGGCUGUCUGGGAGGGAAAGCACACCUGAACAGUUUUUGGAAACAUGGGGUCAAGAGGCUUCAACAUCUGCAGGCCGCACAACAAGUCUUCCAUAGCAGUAGCUCUCGAAGGCAGCUACUUAAGAAUCUUGAUCUGUUUGACAGAAGACUGCUUUCCUUUUAAUCUAGUAUCCCAAUCUUCACUGUUGUACAUGGAAAUAAAUUUGGUUUUGCAUUACAAUUUUGUGUUAAAGACAUUGCUAUUGGAGUACAAGAGGGUUAUUUCCAUCAUUGAG